rnacentral:rRNA from 1 species
AUUGAACGCUGGCGGCAGGCCUAACACAUGCAAGUCGAGCGGAAACGAUCCUAGCUUGCUGGAGGCGUCGAGCGGCGGACGGGUGAGUAACGCGUGAGAAUCUACCCAUGAGUGGGGGACAACCCGGGGAAACUCGGGCUAAUACCGCGUACGCCCUACGGGGUAAAGCAGGGGACCUUCGGGCCUUGCGCUGAUGGAUGAGCUCGCGUCGGAUUAGCUUGUUGGUGAGGUAAAGGCUCACCAAGGCGACGAUCCGUAGCUGGUCUGAGAGGAUGAUCAGCCACACCGGGACUGAGACACGGCCCGGACUCCUACGGGAGGCAGCAGUGGGGAAUCUUGGACAAUGGGGGCAACCCUGAUCCAGCCAUGCCGCGUGUGUGAAGAAGGCCUUCGGGUUGUAAAGCACUUUCAGCAGGGAGGAAGGCUUACCCCUAAUACGGGUGAGUACUUGACGUUACCUGCAGAAGAAGCACCGGCUAAUUUCGUG